CGGACGGGCGAGUAAUGUCUGGGAAACUGCCCGAUGGAGGGGGGUAACUACUGGAAACGGUAGCUAAUACCGCAUAACGUCGCAAGACCAAAGAGGGGGACCUUAGGGCCUCUUGCCAUCGGAUGUGCCCAGAUGGGAUUAGCUAGUAGGUGAGGUAACGGCUUACCUAGGCGACGAUCCCUAGCUGGUCUGAGAGGAUGACCAGCCACGCUGGAACUGAGACACGGUCCAG
rnacentral:rRNA from 1 species